rnacentral:rRNA from 1 species
UAGGGAAUCUUGGACAAUGGGCGAAAGCCUGAUCCAGCCAUGCCGCGUGAGUGAUGAAGGCCUUAGGGUUGUAAAGCUCUUUCGCCAGGGAAGAUAAUGACGGUACCUGGAUAAGAAGCCCCGGCAAACUUCGUGCUAGCAGCCGCGGUAAUACGAAGGGGGCUAGCGUUGUUCGGAAUUACUGGGCGUAAAGCGCACGUAGGCGGCUUUCCAAGUUGGAGGUGAAAUCCCCGGGCUUAACUCGGGAACUGCCUCCAAAAACUGGACGGCUCGAGUCCGAGAGAGGUGAGUGGAAUUUCCAGUGUAGAGGUGAAAUUCGUAGAUAUUGGAAAGAACACCAGUGGCGAAGGCGGCUCACUGGCUCGGUACUGACGCUGAGGUGCGACAGCGUGGGGGAGCAAAACAGGAUUAGAUACCCUGGUAGUCCACGCCGCAAACGAUGGGUGCUAGUUGUCAGGCAGCUUGCUGUUUGGUGACNCAGCUAACGCAUUAAGCACCCCGCCUGGGGAGUACGGUCGCAAGAUUAAAAACUCAAAUGAAUUGACGGGGUCAUAGCUGUUUCCU